rnacentral:ncRNA from 1 species
GCUUAUCCGGAGUGGUGGAGGGACAGGGCCCUGUGAAACCCGGCAACCGGCUGUUACAGCAUCGGUGCUAAUUCCCCCGACACCUGUCGGAAGAUAAG